UGCUGUCCCUGAUCGGCUUCGUGGUGAUCGGCCCGCUGCUGGCGGGCGGGGUCGUCCGGGUGAUCAGCGCGGUGCUGCUGCGGGUCUUCGG
rnacentral:tRNA from 1 species